CAUGGGGUGCAAACGUUGCUCGGAAUUAUUGGGCGUAAAGCGCGCGUAGGCGGUUACUCAAGUCGGAUGUGAAAGCCCUCGGCUUAACUGAGGAAGUGCACCCGAAACUGAGUAGCUAGAGUACUAAAGAGGGUCGCGGAAUUCCCGGUGUAGAGGUGAAAUUCGUAGAUAUCGGGAGGAACACCGGUGGCGAAGGCGGCGACCUGGUAGAUACUGACGCUGAGGCGCGAAAGCGUGGGGAGCAAACAGGAUUAGAUACCCUGGUAGUCCACGCCGUAAACGAUGGUGCUAGAUGUUUCUGGUAUUGACCCCGGAGGCGUCGUAGCUAACGCGUUAAGCACCCCGCCUGGGGAGUACGGCCGCAAGGCUA
rnacentral:rRNA from 1 species